rnacentral:misc_RNA from 1 species
UGUCGGCGAUGGUGGUGGUGGUGAUGGAGGAAAGAGUAGGAGGAAGAAGAGAAGGGUAGUGGUGGAGAGGCGAAGGUGGAGGUGGAGCGAGGAUACCCUCGUCGUGUGUGACGAGUCAAAGACGAACGGGAGAGUCAAUGUGCUUUUGCCUUCGCACACCGACAGAGGGGAAGAGUUUUCGUAGGGUUAAGGGGAAGGGGAAAGCAGGAGAAGUUACACACUAUAGAGAGAACCGGCACGAAAGGCACUACUCCGCAGCUGAGCUACUACUGGAUCCAGAGAUGCGCCCCUUAGCCCGCGCAUCUGCCGCGUGGAAAUGAAGGUAAAAAGGAGCGGAUGAGAAAGAAGGGGCGAGGAAUCAUUCUAAAUCAUCGAAGGGGUUAAAGAAG